UACAGAGGUCUCAAGCGUUAUUCGGAUUCAUUGGGCGUAAAGGGUGUGUAGGUGGCGCUGUAAGUCGGGUGUGAAAUCUCGGGGCUUAACUCCGAAACUGCAUUCGAUACUGCGGUGCUUGAGGACUGGAGAGGAGACUGGAAUUCAUGGUGUAGCAGUGAAAUGCGUAGAGAUCAUGAGGAAGACCAGUGGCGAAGGCGGGUCUCUGGACAGUUCCUGACACUGAGACACGAAGGCCAGGGGAGCAAACGGG
rnacentral:rRNA from 1 species